AAGUCGUAACAAGGUUUCCGUAGGUGAACCUGCGGAAGGAUCAUUAAUUAAAUGUGAUACUUUCUAUUAACCACAUAGUGAGAAAAUAUUUUUUAAUAUUUUCAAGCUUAUUGGUAUUUUAAUUUUAAUUUUAAGCUUUAAAAUUAUUAAUUUUAUAUGCUUAAUUCUUUUGGGGUUAAAAUCCCAAAAUAAAACUAAUGUUAAUAAUAUUUAAAUUAUUAUAAAAAAGCAUUCUAAUUGUUUAAUUAAUUAUUAUAUAAUUAUAUAACAACUAAUAACAAUGGAUCUCUUGGCACU
rnacentral:misc_RNA from 1 species